rnacentral:rRNA from 1 species
AGAGUUUGAUCCUGGCUCAGAUUGAACGCUGGCGGCAUGCCUUACACAUGCAAGUCGAACGGCAGCGCGGGAGCUUGCUCCUGGCGGCGAGUGGCGAACGGGUGAGUAAUACAUCGGAACGUGUCCGUUUGUGGGGGACAACCAGCCGAAAGGUUGGCUAAUACCGCAUAAGACCUGAGGGUGAAAGCCGGGGACCGCAAGGCCUGGCGCAGACGGAGCGGCCGAUGAUUGAUUAGCUUGUUGGCGGGGUAAAGGCCCACCAAGGCGACGAUCAAUAGCUGGUCUGAGAGGACGACCAGCCACACUGGAACUGAGACACGGUCCAGACUCCUACGGGAGGCAGCAGUGGGGAAUUUUGGACAAUGGGGGCAACCCUGAUCCAGCCAUGCCGCGUGCGGGAAGAAGGCCUUCGGGUUGUAAACCGCUUUUGUCAGGGACGAAAAGGGACGGGUUAAGAGCUAGUUCCGCUGACGGUACCUGAAGAAUAAGCACCGGCUAACUACGUGCCAGCAGCCGCGGUAAUACGUAGGGUGCAAGCGUUAAUCGGAAUUACUGGGCGUAAAGCGUGCGCAGGCGGUUGGGUAAGACAGAUGUGAAAUCCCCGGGCUUAACCUGGGAACUGCAUUUGUGACUGUCCGACUGGAGUACGUCAGAGGGGGGUGGAAUUCCGCGUGUAGCAGUGAAAUGCGUAGAUAUGCGGAAGAACACCGAUGGCGAAGGCAGCCCCCUGGGACGCAACUGACGCUCAUGCACGAAAGCGUGGGGAGCAAACAGGAUUAGAUACCCUGGUAGUCCACGCCCUAAACGAUGUCUGCCGGUUGUUGGGGAUUUAUAUCUUCAGUAACGAAGCUAACGCGUGAAGCAGACCGCCUGGGGAGUACGGUCGCAAGAUUAAAACUCAAAGGAAUUGACGGGGACCCGCACAAGCGGUGGAGCAUGUGGUUUAAUU